UUGUAUGCUAUAAAAACCUGUAGAAAUGAGUAGAAUAAAACUUUCUUUUGCAUGAACACAGAGGACGGAGUUGGCUCCCGUCUUUCACAAUUGAUGUCCCAGGUGAGGCUCACCAAUCCUGACCAUGACGUUUGGAAGCUGUGCAAUGAUGGACUAACAGCAGCACAGCACCAUUUCCAUGUGCUGUGUGAAACAAAAAGUACAGAAAUGGCAAAACCUCCUGUGAUUUGGAAAAACAGACAAACUGGACACUGGGAAGGACCAGUGCCCUUAUUAACCUGGGGUCAGAGAUGUGCUUGUGUCUCCACCUCAGCAGAUCCCCAGUGGAUUCCAGCGGGACACAUCAAACUGUGGCAUGGCAUGGAUGAAGCCAAAUCUGAUUCCUGAACUCUGCAACCUGAAGAUGGAGGGGACAGCUCCACCAACGAUGAGACUGCUGAAAACUCAGCAGGCCCUGUUGAUGAUGUAGGGAGCCCUGAAGAAAACUACUCAAAAAGCUGAAGCAGUACUUCAAAAAACUGCACUCCUGUAACUCCAGAAACAUUAUUCCUGGAUUCAGGUGUGGAUGGACCAGCCUAAGAAGAUGUGGCACCCAUUCCUGGAUCCCCCAUGAUAUCCCUAUGAAUGAGCUUUAUGUCACUACACCAAACUGUAACCAUAAUAAAAAGGGGGGAGAUGUGGAGACACAGAAGUUCCCCUUGCUUGAUAGAUUAUACAUAGAGCCCCUUUCCCAAAAUCUGGAAGCCUGAAUGUGGGCACUAGGCUGGGAAAAGGCUGAAAGCUUUGCAUGUCUGAAGGCAGACAUCAAUUUAGAUAAGGGAAUAGUCUUUGAGCUUUGCUGGGCUCCUUCCAUGCUCCUGUCUCCUGCCCCUGCUCUUUCCUGUCUAGCCCCAA